rnacentral:rRNA from 1 species
GACGAACCGUACGAACGUUAUUCGGAAUCACUGGGCUUAAAGGGUGCGUAGGCGGUCGGGUAAGUCUGAUGUGAAAUCUCACAGCUUAACUGUGAAACUGCAUUGGAUACUAUCCGGCUUGAGGAAUGGAGGGGAGACUGGAAUACUUGGUGUAGCAGUGAAAUGCGUAGAUAUCAAGUGGAACACCAGUGGCGAAGGCGAGUCUCUGGACAUUUCCUGACGCUGAGGCACGAAAGCCAGGGGAGCAAACGGG